UACAGAGGUCUCAAGCGUUGUUCGGAUUCAUUGGGCGUAAAGGGCGCGUAGGCGGCUCGGCACGUCCGUUGUGAAAACUCGAGGCUCAACCUCGAGACGCCGAUGGAAACCAUCUAGCUAGAGUCCGGAAGAGGAGAGUGGAAUUCCUGGUGUAGCGGUGAAAUGCGCAGAUAUCAGGAAGAACACCCGUGGCUAAGGCGGCUCUCUAGUACGGUACUGACGCUGAGACGCGAAAGCGUGGGGAGCGAACAGG
rnacentral:rRNA from 1 species